rnacentral:lncRNA from 1 species
UCGCUCUCCUUGAUACAUAUUUAAUUGUCAUUAUUUGUUUCCCUUUCUUAUCUUUAAGGUCAAGGAAAACAUACAUGGACAUAUGUACACACUACCAGGUAUCUGUUUGGUCUGUGUGUUGUUUCUCUGCCUUUCUGAUCCCAAGGAGAGAAGUACCUGGAACAUAAUAUGGAGAAGGAAAGGAAGAAAUACAGGCAGAGAGGAAGAUGAACCCUGCCUUUACACCGUGACCCCUGGUAAUCAGAAGAAAUGAAACAUGUGCUCUGCCCACCCAUAUAUGGAGAAAGGUUGGAGAUGUCUAUUCCAUCAGGGUCCCCCCCCCACUUCAUGCUCCAUUGCCACUGGAACAUUUGCAGCCAUGACCUGGAAUGGCACCUUGAAAAAUAUAUAGAAUCGGACUGGUUUACCCAACUCUUCCUAACCGUACUGUGCUCAAGGCACUGGGUGAUAUAUAAGACCCAUAGAGUCUUGCUUCAACUAGCUUGCACUAAAGAAUCAGAAUGCAGAGAAACAACAGAGCCUGAAAUAAGUCAUCUGCUGAGCACUGGUGAGUUUUGUGGGCUUUUCCUGAAAGAGAUGAGCUUCCAGAAUGCUUCUUGAAUAUUAAGUAGAAAACUGGCGCUAGUGUUUGGGAAGGCAUGAAACAACACCCAAAACUGAGUUUGCAUGACACAGAAAUAACUUUAGAGGGAAGAUCUGUGGAAGGAAAAUGUAGAAAAUCAGAAAGAGCAGGAAAGAGGAUAUCAAAGAAUCAUCCCAUUUAUGCAAAGCAAUUCAGAGGAAGUAUUUUCGGGUUAGGAAGGAAAAAUGAUUGAUUGUUUGAAUACAAGACAAAAGCAACCAUGAUAGCCUUGCUCGGAAUUGCAGUAAAAAACUAUAUACUCUCAGUGGCAUCAAAAGCCAAGGAAUUUUGAAUGUUUCCCUGUGUGAUGCUGCCUGAGAAUUUGGAAGAAGACUAAGGAGCUUGGUUUGGCUUCUAGUCCCAUACAUCAAGCCACAGGGCA